AUAAAGAAAAGGAAAAUGUGAAAACAAGUCCUAACCCAUAAAGGGUUAUGGACUGCAAAAGAAGUAAAAAGGUUUUAGGACUAAGAAACAGAAUACGCUGAAACGCUGAGUUAAAAAAAAGGGCCCUCGUUCACGCACAAACACAGAAUCGUAAGACAGAGUCUUGCUGCUCAAUACUCCCGUAGGCAACGCAAAGUUUAGGUUUCUUUACAAGUCGCUAAUUCUUGAACUCAGAAUCAAUUGUUUGACGGAUAUAAAUUGGAUUGGAGUCUACGUAUUGGUUCGAGAAGUUUUGAGGACCAACGUGUCAAACUCUCAAGUAGCACCCACACAUACAGACAACGGCCUUGGUCUUCAUGGAGAGAACGAAAUCAUAGCCGCCCAGGGAAACGGAGUACCUCCAGUCAACCCCGAUGGACCACCGUCCAUAGACCAGUCUAUGUCAGCUCCCUUAUUGCCAUUAAUGGGAAUUUGGGCGUCGGCCGUAAAAAUAGCAUCCAUAGAUACGCUCGAACAUCCGAUCAGAAUGCACCGAACAGAGAAGAAGGCGAAAUUAGCCUUCGAAUGAUAUUUGAGAUGUUGCAGACUCAACAAGCUGCAAUAGCACAACUCCAAUAUCAGAAUCGUGCACCAAGCAGAAUCGAGCUCGAGCCAUCGCAAGAAGUUGUUCAUAGAGCCGAAUCCGUACCAAAGAGAUCGAAUGAGUGAGAAUCGGAGACUAGUCUUGCUAUCGUAAAGAUGCUCGAGGAACUAACGAAGCAAAUCGAGACAGGGGAAAAGAAGAUCGAGGAAAAUGAUAAGAAGGUGGAAACUUAUAACUCCAGGGUCGGCCAAAUUCCCGGGGCACCACCGGCAUUGAAAGGACUUGAUUCUAAAAAGUUUAUAUAAAAACCUUUCCCCCAAGUGAGGCUCCGAAGCCAAUCCCAAAGAAGUUCCGUAUGCCCGAGAUACCGAAGUAUAACGGGAUGAUAAAUCCAAAUGAACACGUCACUUCACACACGUGCACCAUUAAGGGAAAUGACUUGGAAGAUGACGAGAUUGAAUCCGUGUUGCUGAAGAAAUUAGGAGAAACUUUAUCGAAGGGUGCCAUGAUAUGGUACCAUAAUUUACCACCUAAUUCUAUUGAUUCAUUUGGUAUGCUUGCAUAUUCUUUUGUGAAGGAAGACGCUGGAGCCAUUAAGGUUGCAACUAGAAAGUCGGACCUAUUCAAGGUAAGGCAAAAAGACAACGAGAUGCUCAAGGAAUUCGUAUGUUGAUUUCAAAUAGAACAGAUGGAUUUGCCACCGGUAACUGACGAUUAGGCUGUUCAAUCUUUCACUCAAGGUCUCAACGAACGGAGUUCCAUAGCUUCGCAAUAACUAAAGCAGAAUUUGAUCAAAUAUCCAGCCGUCACUUGGUCCGAUGUACAUAAUCGAUAUCCAGUCGAAGAUUAGGGCCGAAGAAGAUCAAGUGGGGGCUCCAAUUGGUUUGAUUUAUCCCAACAGGCCCGUGGACAGAGUUAAAAGAGACUUCGAUCGGGAACCGUGAUCGAAUAGAGACUAAUAGCAGCCAUACGAUGGAGAUCAAAGAAAUAACGGGCAUGGGCACAACCCGCUCAGAAUGAUAGAAGGAAUGAUCGGGGACAGAGCUCCCAAGGGCUCAUGAGCAAGAGUGGUUUCGAUAGGGAUACCGAGUCCAAAGAAGUACCUCGAUUGUCAGAAUAUAACUUUAGCAGAUGCUUCCAUCAUAGUAUCAGCCAUUGGGCGUAUCAAAGAUACCAGGUGGUUGACCUCUGCAGACCGAUGCGGCCCAGAGAAACCCAAACCAAAUAUACAAGUAUCAUGGAACCCAUGGCCAUAAAAUAGAAGAUUACAGACAACUAAGAGAGGAAGUAGCCUGAUUGUUCACCGAGGGGCACCUUCGAGAACUCCUAAGUGAUCGAGCCAAGAACCACUUCAAAAUAGAGAUUCAAAUAGACAAAACGAGUAGGAAGAGCCACAACAUGUGAUUCACAUGAUCGUUGAUCAUUGGAGGAAUCGAUUUUCCUCAAGGACUGGUAUUCAAACGCACCAAGGUGACAAUCACAAGAGAAAAACGGACUCAGAACUAUUUACCAGAAGGGACCUUAUCUUUCAACGAUAAGGAUGCUAAAGGGAUCGAACAACCUCACAACGACGCGCUGGUUAUAUCUAUCCUUAUGAAUAAAAUUCAAGUUAAACGUGUGUUAAUUGAUCCAGGUAGCUCGACCAACAUUGUUCGAUCAAGGGUCAUAGAGCAACUCAGACUAUAAGAUCAAAUUGUGCCAGCAGCUCGAGUACUUAAAGGAUUCAACAUGGCAAGUGAAACCACCAAAGGGGAAAUUAUUUUGCCAGUAAAUAUGGCCAGGACCAUCCAAAAAAUAAAGUUCCAUGUGAUCGAGGGUAACAUGAGGUACAACACACUGCUCGGAAGGCCUUGGAUCCAUAAUAUGAGGGCAGUACCCUCGACACUUUAUCAAGUCCUGAAGUUCCCAACAUCGAAAGGAUUCAAAACGGUGUACAGUGAACAACCCGCCACCAAAUAAAUGUUUGCAAUCGACAAAGUGGUACCAGUAUCUGCGCUUUCAUCAACAAAGGGAUCGGAGUCGAAGGGAAAGCAGGAAGUCAAAUAGCAAUCACAGUCACCGGCCUUGGCCCAAUCGAAGGAGCAGGAAACUUUCGAGGAUGAUGAUUAUAUGAUACCUCGAACCUUCAUAAUCCCCGAUGAUUUAGACGCAACGAAGUCAACGAUCGAAGAGCUGGAACAAAUCAUACUGAUCGAGCAUCUGCCCUAUCAAAAGGUAUA